UAUUGCACAAUGGGCGCAAGCCUGAUGCAGCCAUGCCGCGUGUGUGAAGAAGGCCUUCGGGUUGUAAAGCACUUUCAGCAAGGAGGAAGGGGUAGUCUUUAAUAGAGGUUAUCUGUGACGUUACUUACAGAAGAAGCACCGGCUAACUCCGUGCCAGCAGCCGCGGUAAUACGGAGGGUGCGAGCGUUAAUCGGAAUUACUGGGCGUAAAGCGUACGCAGGCGGUUUGUUAAGCGAGAUGUGAAAGCCCCGGGCUCAACCUGGGAACUGCAUUUCGAACUGGCAAACUAGAGUGUGAUAGAGGGUGGUAGAAUUUCAGGUGUAGCGGUGAAAUGCGUAGAGAUCUGAAGGAAUACCGAUGGCGAAGGCAGCCACCUGGGUCAACACUGACGCUCAUUACGAAA
rnacentral:rRNA from 1 species